CCCUUAGAUGUUCUGGGCCGCACGCGCGCUACACUGACGAAUGCAACGAGCUUAUAACCUUGGCCGAAAGGUCUGGGUAAUCUCCAAAUUUCGUCGUGAUGGGGAUAGAUUAUUGCAAUUAUUAAUCUUCAACGAGGAAUGCCUAGUAAGCGCAAGUCAUCAGCUUGCGUUGAUUACGUCCCUGCCCUUUGUACACACCGCCCGUCGCUCCUACCGAUUGAAUGGUCCGGUGAAGCCUCCGGAUUGCACAGGCCCCGUGUCUGGCGCGAGAAGUUGGCUAAACCUUACCAUUUAGAGGAAGGUGAANUCGUANCA
rnacentral:rRNA from 1 species